GGGGUUGUAGCUUAGUGGUAGAACACUUGUCUAGCACACAGAGGUCCAGGGUUCAAUCCCCAGCAUCUCAA
rnacentral:tRNA from 1 species